rnacentral:misc_RNA from 1 species
CGCAGCGGGAGGCGAGCGCGCGCGCGGCGCGGAGGAGGAGCAGGAGUGCGGCGAGCGCGAGCAGCGCGGCGUGGGCGGUGGCGGCAACGGCCUCCGGGAGCGGGAGGGAGGGGAAGGAGGGCGGCAUUGGGAGGCGGUGGGGAUCAGUGAGGGAGCGGGGAGGGGUUUAAAAGGCAUUGGGGUUGGGCUCGCCACGGCAGGCACUGGGGCAGGGAGUGCGGCCGCGGGCGAGAGAGAGGGAAAAAGGAAGAGCUUUGGGCGGCGGAUUACGGCAUCGGCGGAUGGCAACAAAGGAGGCGUUUUGGCGGUAGCAGCAGGCGGGCGGGCAGAGACGCUCGCCUGCGCCUGGUUCGAGGAGGGGAGAGAGAGGCUCGCCUGGGAUGGGAUUCCGGCUAAUGCAGCCCGGGUCCGGGCGGGUUACGUCUCUGAUCCCCUCACCAAACUCUCUCCUUGGUUCCUGCGUCCUUCUCGAGUCACCUCCGCGCGGCCGGCCGUGGGGGCGGCGGCGCGGGUGUGUGUGUGGUAGCAGGUGGCGUGCGGAGGGAGGUUUCGGUUUCGGCUUCGGCUUUUGGGGGAUGGAUCGGCGGGUGGGGGGUGUGGUGGGGGGAGAGGAAGACGAUGCGGUGAG